ACACAUGCAAGUCGAACGAGAGAUGAAGAGCUUGCUCUUCAAAUCGAGUGGCGAACGGGUGAGUAACGCGUGAGGAACCUGCCUCAAAGAGGGGGACAACAGUUGGAAACGACUGCUAAUACCGCAUAAGCCCACGGCUCGGCAUCGAGCAGGGGGAAAAGGAGCAAUCCGCUUUGAGAUGGCCUCGCGUCCGAUUAGCUAGUUGGUGAGGUAACGGCCCACCAAGGCGACGAUCGGUAGCCGGACUGAGAGGUUGAACGGCCACAUUGGGACUGAGACACGGCCCAGACUCCUACGGGAGGCAGCAGUGGGGAAUAUUGCACAAUGGGGGAAACCCUGAUGCAGCGACGCCGCGUGGAGGAAGAAGGUCUUCGGAUUGUAAACUCCUGUUGUUGAGGAAGAUAAUGACGGUACUCAACAAGGAAGUGACGGCUAACUACGUGCCAGCAGCCGCGGUAAAACGUAGGUCACAAGCGUUGUCCGGAAUUACUGGGUGUAAAGGGAGCGCAGGCGGGAGAACAAGUUGGAAGUGAAAUCCAUGGGCUCAACCCAUGAACUGCUUUCAAAACUGUUUUUCUUGAGUAGUGCAGAGGUAGGCGGAAUUCCCGGUGUAGCGGUGGAAUGCGUAGAUAUCGGGAGGAACACCAGUGGCGAAGGCGGCCUACUGGGCACCAACUGACGCUGAGGCUCGAAAGUGUGGGUAGCAAACAGGAUUAGAUACCCUGGUAGUCCACACCGUAAACGAUGAUUACUAGGUGUUGGAGGAUUGACCCCUUCAGUGCCGCAGUUAACACAAUAAGUAAUCCACCUGGG
rnacentral:rRNA from 1 species